rnacentral:rRNA from 1 species
AUACGAAGGGGGCUAGCGUUGUUCGGAAUUACUGGGCGUAAAGCGCACGUAGGCGGAUAUUUAAGUCAGGGGUGAAAUCCCAGAGCUCAACUCUGGAACUGCCUUUGAUACUGGGUAUCUUGAGUAUGGAAGAGGUAAGUGGAAUUCCGAGUGUAGAGGUGAAAUUCGUAGAUAUUCGGAGGAACACCAGUGGCGAAGGCGGCUUACUGGUCCAUUACUGACGCUGAGGUGCGAAAGCGUGGGGAGCAAACAGGAUUAGAAACCCGAGUAGUCC